ensembl:snoRNA SNORD63 Small nucleolar RNA SNORD63
GUGCUGUGAUGAUUGACAAUAUAACACAUCAUGCUGACAUUAAAAACCAUGAUGAACUUUGAACCCUGAGCACA